rnacentral:rRNA from 1 species
CACGGAAUUAGCCGGUCCUUAUUCGAAGGGUAAAUGCAAAAAGGCACGCGUGCCUCACUUUACUCCCCAACAAAAGCAGUUUACAACCCAUAGGGCCGUCAAUCCUGCACGCUACUUGGCUGGUUCAGACUUACGUCCAUUGACCAAUAUUCCUCACUGCUGCCUCCCGUAGGAGUUUGGACCGUGUCUCAGUUCCAAUGUGGGGGACCUUCCUUUCAGAACCCCUACUGAUCGUUGCCUUGGUGGGCCGUUACCCGCACCAACAAGCUAAUCAGACGCAUCCCCAUCCUCCACCGAUGAAUCUUUGGUCCACGUCAGAUGCCAUCUGUGGACAACAUCGGGUAUUAGGCCGUCUUUCAACGGGGUAUCCCCGAGUGGAGGGAAGGUUGGAUACGCGAUACUCACCCGUGCGCCGGUCGACGUCCAGAAUGUGCAAGCACAUAAUGCCGUUUCCCCUCGACUUGCAUGUGUUAAGCCUAUAGCUAGCGUUCAUCCUGAGCCAGGAUCAAACUCU